UACAGAGGGUGCGAGCGUUAAUCGGAAUUACUGGGCGUAAAGGGUGCGUAGGUGGCCGAAUAAGUUAGAUGUGAAAGUCCUGGGCUUAACUUGGGGAUUGCGCCUAAUACUGUUGGGCUAGAGUACUGUAGAGGAAGGUGGAAUUUCCGGUGUAGCGGUGAAAUGCGUAGAUAUCGGAAGGAACAUCGGUGGCGAAGGCGACCUUCUGGACAGAUACUGACACUGAGGCACGAAAGCAUGGGGAGCAAACAGG
rnacentral:rRNA from 1 species